AGAUAUCUAUUGGGAUCAAUCUCGAACUAAUUUUUUCAUUAUAGAUUCUUCUUCUCCAAGUAGAAUCUUAGCCUUCGAACUUAGAUCAACACCUUAAUGUAGACUGCAGGAUCAAACUCCCUGAUUUGCAGCCUUCUUCUUCUUCUCCUUGUUCUUCGCUCUUGAAGAAAAAUCUUCUCAAACUUUUGGUAUGUGGAAGUGGGAUGCCCAACCCUUAGGCGUGGAAGAC
rnacentral:lncRNA from 1 species